rnacentral:rRNA from 1 species
AUUGAACGCUGGCGGCAGGCCUAACACAUGCAAGUCGAACGAGGGGCGGAGGGGUGAGUAAUGUCUGGGAAAGUGCCUGAGGGAGGGGGAAAACUAGUGGAAAGGGGAGAUAAUACCGCAUACCCUCAGAUGUGCCCAGAGGGGAUUAGCUAGUUGGUGGGGUAACGGCUCACCAAGGCGACGAUCCCUAGCUGGUCUGAGAGGAUGACCAGCCACACUGGAACUGAGACACGGUCCAGACUCCUACGGGAGGCAGCAGUGGGGAAUAUUGCACAAUGGGCGCAAGCCUGAUGCAGCCAUGCCGCGUGUAUGAAGAAGGCCUUCGGGUUGUAAAGUACUUUCAGCGGGGAGGCGUUACCCGCAGAAGAAGCACCGGCUAACUCCGUGCCAGCAGCCGCGGUAAUUC